rnacentral:rRNA from 1 species
CACGUAGUGCGCAAGCGUUGUCCGGAAUUAUUGGGCGUAAAGAGCUCGUAGGCGGACUGUCACGUCUGCUGUGAAAACCUCGGGCUUAACUCGGGGCUUGCUUUCGAUACGGGCAGACUAGAGGUAUGCAGGGGAGAACGGAAUUCCUGGUGUAGCGGUGAAAUGCGCAGAUAUCAGGAGGAACACCGGUGGCGAAGGCGGUUCUCUGGGCAUGAUCUGACGCUGAGGAGCGAAAGUGUGGGGAGCGAACAGG